CUACGGGUCGCAGCAGUGGGGAAUAUUGCGCAAUGGGCGAAAGCCUGACGCAGCGACGCCGCGUGGGUGAUGAAGGUUUUCGGAUCGUAAAGCCCUGUAGGAGAGGGAAGAACAACCUGUGAGUUAAUACCUCAUGGGCCUGACGGUACCUCUUCAGAAAGCACCGGCUAACUCCGUGCCAGCAGCCGCGGUAAUACGGAGGGUGCUAACGUUGUUCGGAAUCACUGGGCGUAAAGCGCGUGUAGGCGGCAUAGUUAGUCAGAUGUGAAAGCCCUCGGCUUAACCGAGGAAGUGCAUUUGAAACUGCCAAGCUAGAGUACGGGAGAGGGUUGUAGAAUUCCCGGUGUAGAGGUGAUAUUCGUAGAUAUCGGGAGGAAUACCGGUGGCGAAGGCGGCAGCCUGGACCGAUACUGACGCUGAGACGCGAAAGCGUGGGGAGCAAACAGGAUUAGAUACCCUCGUAGUC
rnacentral:rRNA from 1 species